ensembl:lncRNA
GGCUCCCCAUGGCCUUUGCUUUGAGUGCAUCCUGAUCUGGACACUGCGUUCUGUGACCUCAUCUCUCAUCUCCCUCCUGGGCUGCAGCCUGCACUCCACAGCCUUAUCAAGGACCGACCCUCCCUGAUGAGUGCCUCUUGACGUGUAAAUAUCAUCAUGGAUGCGUGUAAAACCAGCCGCGGAUGCUGCGUAUCCCUGCAAAGAGCUGAUGUGAACGUGACUGGUGGGAAGCACACGCAGAGCACCAGUUGCGCUCGUUAACGCUAAUCCCUGCUUUUUCUGUGGGGGACAUCUGAUACUCAUCUCCUUUAAUACUAGAGCAACCCUGCGAGUUGGAUUAUCCCCCAAUUUACAGCGGGAGUGAGGACAAGGCUGGAGCCAAGAACAACCUGUAGUUCUGCACACAGCCGCUGGAGUUGCCUGCCGAAUGUGCUCCCAAAGGAAACGUCAGAGUCAGCAGGAGCUGAGUGUGGCUGGGGCUUCGGAGGAUGGGUUGUGGCACGGGUUCCUUGUGACAUCUCUGAUUGUGAUUGAGAGCAGGGAGCUUGGACCAUCUGACUCCGGGUCAGAGGCCUGGAUUUCAUUCCUGGGAGCCCAAAUGAAGCUUACUGUGUGGCCUGGGGCAGGUUUGUGUGCUGUGCCGAGUCUGUGGUCUCCUUGGGGGAUUUUUUUUUUUUAAGUGGAAAAGUCCAGCCAGAUACAUUCAGAACAUGUUAAAUAAAGCAGUUUUCCAAAAUGCUUCUUGGCUCA